AUGACCACCCUCCAGACAACGGAUUCGAGAGGUACCACGCAGACAGUGAGACAGUUCCCCGCCACUUUGCUUGAGUGUCGCGGACCUCGAGAGACUCAGACCCGUCAGGCUGCUCCAGGUCAUGAGGACCCCGCCCCCCACUGGCUCCUCCAAUAAAGAUCAGGGGGAACCAGAAAGUGAUAAUGAGGAGGAUCAAGCAAACUUUGAUUCCGAUGAGGGUGGAAUGUCCCCCGAUGAAGGGUUGGAUACCAACAGCCAACCAGUCUACAAAAAGUGCAUCUGUUUUUGUUCAUUACCAUCGGCUGUACGUUGGCGAUAACAAGCAGGUUACUGGAGAAGAGUCAGAGGAGGAUACCACUUCAUCACCCUCGUCUCAGGGAGACUCAAUUUCCAUAAAAUGCUUAAGUAAG
rnacentral:lncRNA from 1 species